rnacentral:tRNA from 1 species
AAAUAAGAAGCAAAAUGCAUUUAGUUUCGACCUAAAACCUUGAUUUUUUUUAAUCCUUAUUU